rnacentral:lncRNA from 7 species
GCUUCCAUUGAAGCCCCUUUGUCCUGUGUCCUGCUCUAGUGGAGAGGAAACACAUGGGCAUUUCCUGCAACAGUCUUCUUGAGGUUGGAGGUAUUAAAUCACAAAUUUUCUUGAGGGAUCGUGCCAAAACUGGUCUGUGACAGUGUGACAAGGAAAUUCAAUCAGAGGACACUUGAGAUUAGAAAAAAAUGAGGGUAGAAUGCAAGAGUUUGGCUGCUGGAAAGAGGCACUGAACAGCAGCAUCUGAAGACUUGACACUGCAGGAGGUUAGGAAUGAAGAGGGCUGUAGCCCAGAUCACAGAGGAAGCGGUGUUAAACAAACUGUCAUCUAGCAUUUGUCAUCAGUGUUAACCUGGUAACCAGGCAACUGAGAGAGAUGUAAGAAGCUCACUGCAUCAUCCAGAGUGAAGGGAUGCAUUUGGAGGGGAUGAGGAGCUUAAGAGCUCUGUGAUUCAUGGGAUCAGCAACUCAUCACCAGGGGUGGUUGGGCUGGCAACUCAGGACGCACACAAGAGACUUCAUAGGAUAGAUCAACAGUGAAGUAGGGAAAGGAUGGAAAUGAAGAGAAGAAAUCAGCACAAAUGGGAGCUGUAACAAAGAUCUGAAACUUCAGUUAUUGCUAUCACCAGGAACCUCUCUCUGAGCAAUUUCUGCAGUUGUACUAAAUGCAGUAUUUGCUUGGGUUUAAUACCCUCCCCCUCAAGGGCUGUGUGUCCCAUGCAUCUCCAUGAAGAUUUAUUUUCAUCUACAGGGCAUGUUCGUGCCAAGACGUCUCCUCCUCUGCCCAGGGACUGCAUCAAGCAUCAUCAGCUUUAACAGGGGAAGGAGAGCCACAGGACAGCAGUGAACUUCCAAACAGGGGCAGGUGGGGAUAUGGAGGAGUAAAGCUGCUGAGGACAGUUGACAACCAGUGACUUGCUUGUUUCUAUUGAGAGGACACCUCCUGGUUGAACUGGUUUCAUACUGGGAAUGGUUUGAAGGUCUUGUACAAGAAAGGUGAAGUUUGCCACAGAACAAAAAACUAUGUAGAGGAGAGAUGAAAUCAGGAAUGCUUGGCACAUGGAGAGACAUGAAAGGGGAGAUGCACAUACCCUGUGAAUUUGUUCCCCUGCAUUUUUUCUGCUAAACAUUAUGGGAACUCUGCUGAAGCAGGCAAUCCAGUAGAGAGUGGUAACAAGAUUGGAAAGAAGCAGCAGCCACCCAAGGUCAGCAGAAGCCUUUGGAUGCCAGUGCCAGGAUGGCUCAGCAAAGGUCACCACAAAUGGACAGAGAUGUCUUUUCUGCCAAAGGCUGUUUAGCAUGUGAAACAGGUAGGCUGGAGUCAUCAGGGGAGAUCCAAGGAUGCACCUGGCACCCAGUGAGGCGAGGGAUGCUGAUGUCUGCACUUGGUCAGAAGGAGACAAAGCUCAGCAAAGACAAUGCAGCUGUGUCUGUUGUGUUGGCUUUGCUUCAUUUACAGUGCCUGUUAAUUACACAAGGUCUGUUCAGGGAACAGCCCUCCUUCUGUCCUGCUUCUGUAUAUGCUGGUUUGGCUGUGUUUUCCUCCAGACCUCAGUCCCGGGAUUGGGAGGAACCUAUUAGCUGACUUUUUGCCUGAGAGGGGACCUAAGUCAUGCACAGGAUGUCCAAGGAGCUGGAUGCCACUCAGCUGGUCCUGCCCUUUCUCCUUUUUUCCUCUUUAUGUGUCCAGUGACCAGUUCUCAUUCUGCUUCUAGUUGUGUAAUACCCCUACUUAAAUUGAGCUGUGAAACAACUUCAUUUUGUCUCAAUUCAUACAGGAAAAGAGGAAAAAGUAAUUUCAGAUAUAGCUGCUAGAAACCUGGAUUCUGCAUACUGUAUAUAGUUCCGGAUUUGCCUUUCAAAGGUUUGGAAUUACUAGUGCCAGAGGGAAAGCAAUUCAGAAGUUUAAGACACAGACCUUUGGUUAGUCCCUCUAACUCGAGAGGUUGUAUUUGUUAGACAGCAGUGUGCUGGUUACAAGCUCACUUAGAAAAUGUCUACACAGCUGUUUUCAGACUCCUGGGAUUUAAAACAUUUAAAUAAAGUUUGCUGAAGGCUU